GACGAACGCUGGCGGCGUGCUUAACACAUGCAAGUCGAACGGAAAGGCCCUGCUUUUGUGGGGUGCUCGAGUGGCGAACGGGUGAGUAACACGUGAGUAACCUGCCCUUGACUUUGGGAUAACUUCAGGAAACUGGGGCUAAUACCGGAUAGGAGCUCCUGCUGCAUGGUGGGGGUUGGAAAGUUUCGGCGGUUGGGGAUGGACUCGCGGCUUAUCAGCUUGUUGGUGGGUAGUGGCUUACCAAGGCUUUGACGGGUAGCCGGCCUGAGAGGGUGACCGGCCACAUUGGGACUGAGAUACGGCCCAGACUCCUACGGGAGGCAGCAGUGGGGAAUAUUGCACAAUGGGCGGAAGCCUGAUGCAGCAACGCCGCGUGCGGGAUGACGGCCUUCGGGUUGUAAACCGCUUUCGCCUGUGACGAAGCGUGAGUGACGGUAAUGGGUAAAGAAGCACCGGCUAACUUCGUG
rnacentral:rRNA from 1 species